UGGAAAGUAACUAAUUUCAACUUACUUGAAUGAGAUCGAGAAUUCCUAGUUCACUUUCACCUUCAUCUACUACAAAAACGAAGUAGAGAGUAGCGUACUGGCGAUAAAUUAUUCUAUUUUUACCUGCAAUUAAAUUACUUUCCAAAAAAUUACAAGCGGUUGGGGGCCUAGUGGAUACAGCUGCAUAUAUAUCUCCUAUUAACUUUUGUUGAAUGGAUUCAUCAAUUGGAGUGUAAAACUUUGUGAGACGAGGUUUCCCUUUAUUGUUAAAUAUAAAAACAGCGUAAAUCAUGACAAUAGAAAGGGAAAGCUGGCAGAACCCAAAUAUGCAGUGCUUGGUAAACGGCAAGCUGAAGUUUAAGUUGAAUAUACGUUAAUAGUAGUUUGGAAGAACCAGGAUCGACAAAUUUCUUUCAAUGCCUUAGUUAAUUUGCUAUAUUUAAGAUUUUCAUGGUUUUAUAUUUAUUGAGUAUAUUAUUUAUCCACUAUUGAACCAAAGAUCUGUUACUGAAAUUCAUAAUGUCUAGUAAACAAUUUUUGCCAUGCCUUCAAUGAUCUCUAUAACGAACUA